AGUCGAACGCACAGCGUAAAGGUGCUUGCACCCUUUCAAGAUGAGUGGCGAACGGGUGAGUAACACGUUGGACAACCUGCCUCAAGGCUGGGGAUAACAUUUGGAAACAGAUGCUAAUACCGAAUAAAACUUAGUGUCGCAUGACACAAAGUUAAAAGGCGCUUUGGCGUCACCUAGAGAUGGAUCCGCGGUGCAUUAGUUAGUUGGUGGGGUAAAGGCCUACCAAGACAAUGAUGCAUAGCCGAGUUGAGAGACUGAUCGGCCACAUUGGGACUGAGACACGGCCCAAACUCCUACGGGAGGCUGCAGUAGGGAAUCUUCCACAAUGGGCGAAAGCCUGAUGGAGCAACGCCGCGUGUGUGAUGAAGGCUUUCGGGUCGUAAAGCACUGUUGUAUGGGAAGAACAGCUAGAAUAGGGAAUGAUUUUAGUUUGACGGUACCAUACCAGAAAGGGACGGCUAAAUACGUGCCAGCAGCCGCGGUAAUACGUAUGUCCCGAGCGUUAUCCGGAUUUAUUGGGCGUAAAGCGAGCGCAGACGGUUGAUUAAGUCUGAUGUGAAAGCCCGGAGCUCAACUCCGGAAUGGCAUUGGAAACUGGUUAACUUGAGUGCAGUAGAGGUAAGUGGAACUCCAUGUGUAGCGGUGGAAUGCGUAGAUAUAUGGAAGAACACCAGUGGCGAAGGCGGCUUACUGGACUGUAACUGACGUUGAGGCUCGAAAGUGUGGGGUAGCAAACAGGAUUAGAUACCCUGGUAGUCCACACCGUAAACGAUGAACACUAGGUGUUAGGAGGUUUCCGCCUCUUAGUGCCGAAGCUAACGCAUUAAGUGUUCCGCCUGGGGAGUACGACCGCAAGGGUUGAAACUCAAAGGAAUUGACGGGGACCCGCACAAGCGGUGGAGCAUGUGGUUUAAUUCGAAGCAACGCGAAGAACCUUACCAGGUCUUGACAUCCUUUGAAGCUUUUAGAGAUAGAAGUGUUCUCUUCGGAGACAAAGUGACAGGUGGUGCAUGGUCGUCGUCAGCUCGUGUCGUGAGAUGUUGGGUUAAGUCCCGCAACGAGCGCAACCCUUAUUGUUAGUUGCCAGCAUUCAGAUGGGCACUCUAGCGAGACUGCCGGUGACAAACCGGAGGAAGGCGGGGACGACGUCAGAUCAUCAUGCCCCUUAUGACCUGGGCUACACACGUGCUACAAUGGCGUAUACAACGAGUUGCCAACCCGCGAGGGUGAGCUAAUCUCUUAAAGUACGUCUCAGUUCGGAUUGUAGUCUGCAACUCGACUACAUGAAGUCGGAAUCGCUAGUAAUCGCGGAUCAGCACGCCGCGGUGAAUACGUUCCCGGGUCUUGUACACACCGCCCGUCACACCAUGGGAGUUUGUAAUGCCCAAAGCCGGUGGCCUAACCUUUUAGGAAGGAGCCGUCUAAGGCAGGACCAGAUGACUGGGGUGAAGUCGUAACA
rnacentral:rRNA from 1 species